UUUUACGGCCUGGUACAUUGUCAACCAAGUUCCAAACUUGAUUGUCAUACAUGGACUGUAUCUCGCUGUCCAUAGCCUCCUUCCAUUUAGCAGACUCCGGGCCUGCCAUGGCUUCCUUAACACUGCUAGGUUCAUCCAAAUUCACCAGUGUACUAUCACUGAUAAAUGUAUCACCUUUUGUAGUAAUAUGAAAACCAUAAUAAAACUCAGGUGUGUUCCUAGCCCGAGUGGAACGCCUCGGAGGUACAGGUGAGUCAGCCAUCUCAACAGGAGUUUCCUCCUCAGGUUGAUUGCUAGUACCUGAGGUUCCUUCACCAAUUGAUUCUUGAAUUUCUUCAAGGUCAGUUUGCCUCCCACUGUCUCCUAGGCUUAUAAAUUCUCUCUCACGAAAGAUCGCUCUUCUCGCAACAAAGACCACAUUCUCACUGGGUUUGUAGAAGAGAUAACCAAAGGAUUUCUGUGGGUAGCCGAUGAAAAUACACCUUUCACUUCGGGGUUCAAGCUUAUCAUGAGUUUCACGCCUCACGAAAGCUUCGCAACCCCAAAUUUUGAUGUGGUCCAAAUUGGGAACCUUCCCAGUCCACAUUUCAUGAGGUGUUUUGGUAACCUUCUUUGUAGGGACUAGAUUAAGGAUAUGGGCGGCAGUCUCUAAGGCAUACCCCCAAAAAGAGAUUGGUAACGAAACUCGACUCAUCAUAGAGCGAACCAUGUCCAACAAGGUUCGAUUACGCCUCUCAGCUACACCAUUCAGCUGUGGUGUCCUGGGAGGAGUCAAUUGUGAGACAAUCCCACACUCCUUAAGAUAGUCAAGGAACUCGGUGCUAAGGUACUCACCACCUCGAUCGGAUCGAAGUACCUUAACGUUCCUGCCCAAUUGAUUUUCUACUUCCUUCUUAAAUUCUUUAAACCUUUCAAAGGUUUCUGACUUAUGUUUGAUUAAGUAUACAUAACCAUAUCUACUAAAAUCAUCAAUAAAUGUCAUAUAAUACCGAUUAGCAUCCCAUGUGGCGGUUUUGAAUGGUCCACAUACAUCGGUAUGUAUUAGGUCCAACAAACCUUCACCCCUUUCACAAGUACCAGUGAAGGGUGAUUUUGUCAUCUUUCAAAGUAGAUAAGAUUCACAACUAUCAUCCGAUUUCAAGUCGAAUGAUUCCAAGACUCCAUCCUUUUGGAGUUGGCCUAUGCGUUUCUUGUUUACAUGUCCAAGACGGCAAUGCCAUAAUGAUGAUUUAUCUAAGCUAGUAGAAGAAUCAAUAUACAACACAUUAUUUCCUAGGUUAUCUACAACCGAAACAGUUUCAUACACACCAUCACAAGGUAAUGCUUUAAAAUAAAACACAUUAUUAAAGAAAGCAUCAAUACCUCCACAUUCAUUAUCAAAUGAAAAGGUAAAACCUUGUUUGUACAACCCAUGAAAAGAAAUAAUAUUUCUUGCCAUUUCUGGCGAGUACACACAUUUAUUCAAAUCUAAUUUUAACCCAUUAUUCAGCAAUAAAGUAUAAACCCCAAUCUUGGAAACAGGAGAAGCCUUCCUAUUCCCCAUGAUCAAGUUUAUCUUCCCGUGCUCCACAUCCUCACUUCUUCUUAGGCCCUGCAAAUUUGAACAUAUGUGAAUACCACAUCCUGUAUCAAGCACCCAAGAGUUAGAAUAUGAUGAGUUAUUAGACAAUAUUGUGUAAAUACCUGCAUAGGUGGGUUUCACUUUCCCAUCCUUAAGAUCCUGCAAGUACUUAGGGCAGUUUCGCUUCCAGUGCCCCUUGUCCUGGUAAUAGUAGCAAUCACCAUCCUUAGGAAUGGUAGAAGGAGUGACAAAACCGCUCUUGGUCCUUGAUGAGGAGCCUUCAAAAGACUUUCUCUUGGUACCCUUCGAAGGGGACUUCCUCUUUUUCCCUUUGCCCUGCCCGAUACCCAAAACAGGGGUAGAUGUUGGAGUAGGAGUAGUAGAGGUAACAACUGAUUUACCCUUAAGACCGUUCAGCGGUCNUCAAGAGUCCUUGAAGUUUGCUAAGGGUAACUUCCUCCUUGUUCGUAUGAUAUGUCAUACGAAAAUGGUCAUAACAAGAAGGUAAGGAGUGUAAAAUGAUGUCAAUUGCCAACUCCUCAGGGAAGUUCACGUUUAGCUUGAGCAAACGGUCCACAUAAUUUUGCAUCUUUUGCAUGUGGCCCAUGACGGAUUCAUCGUCCUUCAUGCGAGUUGUUAUCAUGGAGGAGAUUAGUUCAUACCGCUCUUGAUGAGCACUCUGAUGGUACCUUUCCAUCAGGUCUUGGUGCAUCUCAAAAGGGUAGAAGUCCUCAUAGGACUUUUGGAGUUUGGCUGUCAUCGUGGCCAUCAUGAUGCAUGCCACCUUAGUAGCAUCUCUCUCAUGUGUCCUGAAUUCAGCGAUCUCCUCAGGGGUAGCAGUGGGCUCAUCAAGCUCUAUUAACUCCUUAUCUAGGACAUAUUCCUUGUCCUCAUAACGAGUUACCAUCCUGAUGUUCCUUAUCCAAUCCAUGAAGUUGGAACCAUCAAAGAUGACUCUCCCACAAAGAUUCAUGAGAGAGAAAGAACCAGUUGGGUUGGAGCCCAAAGCAUUGUUGUUGGAAGACAUCUAAAAAGAAGAGAACAAGUUUAGAUUAGAUAUAUAGAGUCCUUAAUAAGACACCCAAAUGUAAUAUUAAGGCUAGGAUCCAAUCACAAUAUAUUAUACUUAGAAGAGGUAUGCCGUAAUCUAAGUAAUAAUAUAUUUGAAAGGUAGGUGAAUGACCAUUCACCAAUUUCCACCACGAAAACGAAAUGAUUUAUUAGGUUUUAAUUGGAUUUGAAACUCCUUGAUGCUUUUGACAUUCAUUGAACUUUUCAAUGGCAUGUUUCAAGCUCGAUUGUGCCCUUCAUGUUUUGUGACUAGUAUGCCGAGGAUCACAAAACAAGGUGUGAAUAACCAUACCAAUUCACAUGGUACCCUUAAUAUUAUCACCUAAUCAAUGUGCUGGCAAACCACACGCGCUCCACCGAUCUAUGAUAAAAUUAAGUCACCCUUCGUGAUCCUUACUAGUCCAAGUUAAUGUGUCGGUAAACCACACGUGCUCCACCAACGACUUGGUAAAGGACAAAGUGUGAAUUCCAUGGGCUAGCACCAAAUUCACAUUUUUCCUAAAGUAACUAAGAUUGGCAAUUAAAUAAAAUAUUUAGUUACUUUAUUAUAUUCAUCAUACUUAAUGAUAAUUUAUAAGUCCUUGUCUUACCCGUUCGGCUAACGACCCUCCACCAGUCAAGCAAGCGGUGGGUGAGAGUGGACACCCAUUAAGUUGCCAUUUUAUAGGCAACAACCUUAUACCCACCUUAUAGACCGGCUUCGUGAAUGAGGCCUACUAACGGUAGAACGACUUAUUCUUAUACAUAUAUAUAAUAAUUAACCAUUAAUGUUAUAAAUAGUAUAAGGGUUGAAUUUUAACUAUUAAAACUCUAAGGGUUGGAAUUAAAGUUUAUUAAAGUGUGUGAAACUUUACAAAUUCCAAAACUUGAGGGCAAGUUUUGUAACUAUCCAAAACUUUUCAUUUCAUAACUUAUGAAUUAAAGGUUCAUAAAAAUGAAGACUCUUCAUUUUCAUGUAACUUAUGUGUUUAAAUGUGUGUUUAAAAAAAGUGACCUUUGGAUAUCCAUAACUUGAGGACAAAUUAUGGACUCCAUUAAAACACAUAAAUGAUCAAGAAUUAAUUCUAAACAAUUCAGCAAAUAAUUCCUAUCAUCUUCUAAAUUCAUAAGAACAUGAACAUGAUCAUCAAAAUUUCAAGAAUUAUAUGAACACAUAAAAAUCAUGGAAUUUUGAUAUAUGCUAUUGUAAAUGGAUUAGAACAACCAUUACACCAACUAAAACAAGUUUAAAAACACCAAAACAGUUUAGGGUAAUGUUUCUAGUCCAUUUCCUGCAGCAAAAGUCGAAAAUCUGCAUUCUGAGCCUCCUACUCGCCGAGUGCACGAACCUCCUCGCCGAGUAGGAUGAAUUUGGUCAUGAACUCGGUGAGCCCCCCCAUGGACUCGACGAGUCCAUCAUGCAGACAGCAAAAAUUUCGACUUUUUUCACUAUUUUGCAUCAAGUAUCAAACAAGCAAGCCUAGGCUCUGAUACCACUGUUGGGUUUUGAGCAAUCUAACACUUCCUAAGUGUGCAUGCAACCCUAAUAAACCUUGGAUCUAUGUUUGUCUAAAUACAUGCAAAAUAAUAAUUUUCCAAGGUUCAUAACCUAUCUAACAUGGCAUGGGGUACUUUUAAACAUAAAAGAAUUAGAUGAGAUUACAUACCUUUUGAUGAGUUUGAUUCCUUGGAGUUUGAGAGCCAAGCACCAAUAGUGUGAAUGCCUCAAAUGGAAAUCACAAAUCACCACAAACACUUGGAAAACUUUGAGAGAGUGUAUACACACUUAGAUAGUGCCUAUUUCAUGCAACAUAAGCAUGCUUAUAUAGUGUGCAUGGUUAGGGUGAAACCCUAAUAACCCAUGACCUUUCCUUUUCCAAGGAUCCAUGGGUUAAAAUCUCCAUGGAUCAUCCAUGGACUUCCAUAUAAGCCUAGCCCAUUAACAAAUGAGUGUUAGCCCACACCAUAUAAAAUACAAUAGCCCACAAUUUAAUUAGUCUUCCUUUUAAUCUCUAAAUUAAUUCAUAAUUAAUUUAAGACUAAGACUAAUUAAAUAACAUGACUUCAUAUUAAUAUAUUAUAACUUACAAUAUAUUAAUAAACAUAUGUGUAUAACUCUCAUAAAAUUAUCCAUAAAUAGUUUGGGUGAAGUGCAACCCAAAUGGACCGUGCCGGGUCAGGUCAAGUAUAUACCAAAUAAGUUAUGGACUUAGACACCUUAUCCAACACUUGGGGCCCAGCUUGCCCCGCUUCCUGAAUCGGAUGACACCUUUCCAUGGUGACACCUUUAGGAGGACCAUAUCCCCUACUUGAAACUCUAGGUCUGAACAGCGCUUGUCAGCAUAGUUUUUUUUUGCUGACUCUAUGCAGUUUGGAGUCUACUCCGAACCUGUUGGAUCUUCUCCAUUGUCUUGAGUACCACCUCAGUACUCCCCUUAACUCUCUGACCAACCUCGCCCCAAUGGAUUGGGUUCCUACACUUCCUCCCAUAGAGCAUCUCUAAGGGAGGUCGAUCUAUGCUAGCGUGAUAACUGUUGUUAUACGAAAAUUCAGCUAACGGAAGAUAUGUAUCCCAACAACUGCCGAAAUCCAAUGCACAUGCACACAACAUAUCCUCGAGACUCUGGAUCGUCCUCUCACUCUGCCUAUUAGUUUGAGGGUGAAAAUUUGUGCUAAAGUGAAGAUGAGUACCCAUCUCAUCAUGAAACCGCUUCCAAAACCUAGAAGUGAAGUGAACAUCUAUGUCUGAUACAACCGGCACUGGCACUCCAUGAUGUGCCACCACCUCGCGAAUAUAGAUCUCAGCUAGCUUCUCAACCGAUAUACUCUCCUGGAUUGAGAUGAAAUGAACACUCUUGGUCAACAAAUCCACAAUGACCCAAAUCGAAUCUACUCCACGUGCGGUCUUGGGAAGCUUCGUGAUGAAAUCCAUAGUGAUAUCUUCCCAUGUCCACAUGGGAAUAUCCAAUGGCUGCAUCUUGCCAUGAGGUCGCUGGUGCUCGGUCUUGACUUUCCUGCAAGUCAAGCACCGCUCCACAUACCAUGCUAUGUCCCGAUUCAUGCAGGGCCACCAAUAAUCAGGGCGAAGAUCCCAGUACAUCUUCGUCGCCCCAAGAUGGAUGGAGAAUCUCGACUUGUGAGACUCAUCCAUCAGAACCCAACGUACAUUGCCCCAGUAAGGAACCCAGACCCUCCGAUGCAGGGUCAACAACCCACAACUGUCGUAAUCAAAUAAGGCCACUUGGCCUAUGAUCCGCUUACACUUCCAGUGCUCCUCCUUCAUUCCCUCGACCCGUGCCUCCCGUAUCCAUUCCAACAAUGGAGUAAUCAUUGUCAUCCUCAAGAAUAUGUCUCGGAUUGGAGCUGCAACCACCUUAUGGCUGAGAGCAUCGACCACCACAUUGGACUUCCCUGGGUGGUAGAGGAUCUUACAAUUAUAGUCCUUCACCAUAUCUAACCACUGACGCUACCUCAUGUUCAGAUUCAUUUGGUCCAUCAGAUACCUCAUGUUCUUGUGGUCCGUGUAAAUGGUACAACGAACCAUAUAGAGGUAGUGUUGCCAAAUCUUGAGGGCGAAAACCAUUUCCCCCAACUCCAGAUCAUGUGUCAGAUAGUUCUCCUCAUGAGGCUUCAACUGCCUCAACAAGUACGCAAUCACAUGACCCGAUGUAUCAGCACUACACCUAUUACUGUGAUCGAAGCGUCACAGUAAACUACGAAAUCAUCGACGCCCUCCAGCAAGGUCAGAAUCAGUGCUUUGCACAACCUCUGUUUAAGAGUCUCGAAGGCUGCCCAAUGCUCAGCCCCCCAGCGGAAUGUCACCGACUUCUUGGUCAGCUAGGUCAAUGGAACAACAAUCUUGGAGAAAUCCUGGAUGAAUCUCUGAUAAUAAUCCGCUAGAACAAGAAAACUCUGAAUCUCGGAUGGAGACCUCGGAACCACCCACUUCAUCAUGGCCUCUACCUUGGCCAAAUCGACCAGUAUACCGUUCUAGUUGACAUGGUGCCCCAGAAACUACACCUCGCACAACAAAAACUCGCACUUGUAGAUCUUUGCAAUAAGUCUCUCCCUUCUCGGUGUCUCCAUUACCUCCGUCAGGUGCUCCUCGUGCUGCUCAUGAGUCUUGGAGUAAACCAAUAUAUCAUCAAUGAAGACUAUCACAGACCGGUCCAACAUCGGUUUGCACAUGCGGUUCAUGAGAUACAUGAAAACGGCAGGAGCAUUGGUAAGACCAAACUGAUGGGUUUUGGUCAUAUGAGCAUUCCUAUGUGCACAUACAAACCCUAAUGCUUGGAUCUAGGUUUCUCUAAUUAAACAUGCAUUGAAUCCAAGACUUCUAAUGGCUAAUUAGGUAUAAGAACAAUACAAAACCAGAGUUAGAAGCUUACCCUGAAACACUUGUUUGACCUUCUUGUUCUUGGAUCUUUAGAGUCACAAUUGUCACUCAUCUAAUGGCUUACAAACACCAACUAGCAAAGAGAAUGAUUUGAGAGAGAGGAGAGAGGAGGAAAUCGACUAGGGUAUCCUUGCUCUAGAGGAGGUGCCGAUUUCCCUAUCCCAAGGGGUCUAUUUAUACUUGUAAGGCUCCUAGGGUUUCACCUUUAACCCUAAUUGGAUAACUUUGACUCUAAGUAAUCCUAAUCCUUUCCUUGGAUAUCCUUUGGACGAUUUUGAGGCUUAUCCUAGCCCUAGAAAUCGUCCACCCUAUAUCCCAUAAGGAUUCAUAGCCUAAAGUGUAACUAUCAAACAAUUGACAGUUUAUACCCUCUUAUUUAAUUAAUCUCUUUAAGUCACUAAAUUAAUACUAAUUAAUCUAUGACUUAUAUUAAUCAAAUAACAAUAUUAUUAUUCCUUAUAUUAUUCUCAUAAUAUAUUAAUAAUAUCUAUUCUCUCAUAAUAAAUCAUCCUAUCAAGUUGCUAUGGUGAAGGCAACCCAAAAGGACUAUUCACAAUCGGGUCAAAUACUUGCCUAAUAUAGUUGCAGCCUUAGACACUAUUCCAACAGUGUCCCACUUGGAUAUGUCCAGUAACUAUAUGUGCAGGUACAUUCCGAUUUGCAAUCGUAGCUCUCAAAGACGCUGUCAAACUCUGAUCUAAUCAAUCUUGUCCUUUAGAUAAGGGAACGUACAGUCCUCUGUUAGAUAUCAUGCUGACAAUCCUAUGGAAUGGUUAGUCAAGCAUUUAGGUUUCUCGAUCUCUGAUUUAUUUGACAUAGAACUUAAUCGAACACAUCAAUUCAGUUCUGACCGGGCCCGGCACAUAAGUCAAAUCAAAUCAUCGAGCGGCCGAGAUAUCGCUUUUACCUUUUUGGAUAAAAGUUACAGAUAAACUUCGACUUAUAUGCAUUUACUUAUUCAUUAACGAACUAUACACAACAAUGCAUUUUAUAACAUCGAGUUACCAAUGCGUUUUUCGCAUUAUCAAUGUACAAUCAAUUAACAAAUAACAAACCAUAUAUCUAGGUUUUAAGACUAUAUGAUAUUAUCGUCUUGCGAUCACCUUUUAUAUCAAAUUCCAUAAGGUGAUUCCAGCAAGCGCGGGUUUGUUCCAAUGCUCAAAACUAGUUCAUAAGCACUCAUGAACGUUGUAGCAAUCCUUUGCUAUGUCUAACACCAUUUAGACAUUCUACACACCAAUUCAUGACAAUCUUCAUUCAUAUCUACUUCCAACAUAUGAACGAUUGUGGACAAUUUGAAUAAUUCGAUUAUUCUUAAUAAACUCAAUUAUUCUGGAAGUCAAAACAUGCAAAGUGAAACAAUAGUUAAACAAUUAACAUAAGACAGUAACAUUACUUAUAAAUAAAACUCCUUUAUUUAAUCAUCAAAUGUUAAUUACAUUUAUCUAUUACACGUUUCUAAUACUAUCUAAUCUAUGCUAAUAUCAUCCUUCAGCCCAAUACUCCUAGCAUGCUGUAAGUGCUUAACCCUACUCAGUCCCUUCGUAAGCGGAUCUGCUGGGUUAUCUUCUGAUGAUAUCCUCUUCACUACGAGUUGUCCUUCUUCUACACGAUGUCUAAUAAAGUGAUAUUUUCUGUCGAUAUGUCUUGAUCUACCAUGAUCCCUCGGUUCCUUGGUUAAGGCAACCACUCCUUCAUUAUCACAAAAAUUUUCCAUAGGCUCCUUUAUGGCAGGCACAACUCCAAGAUCACCAAUGAAGUUCUUCAUCCAUAUUGCCUCCUUUGACGUUUCGCUUGCAAUAGUGUACUCUGAUUCGCACGUUGAAUAAGCUACGGUUUCCUGCUUGGAACUCUUCCAAGUCACUGCUCCUCCAUUCAAGGUAAAGACCCAGCCCGACUGCGAACGGUAGCUGUCUCUGUCAGUUUGAAAACUGGCGUCACUAUACCCUCGCACCUUCAAGUCAUCACUCCCUCCGAGGACUAAAAACCAUUCCUUCGUCCUCCAAAGGUACUUAAGGAUAUUCUUCACCACAAUCCAAUGUGCUCUGCUAGGGUUCUCUUGAUGUAUACUAACCAUGCUCAAAGCAAAGGCUACAUCAGGGCGAGUACAAGUCAUAGCGUACAUGAUUGAGCCAACUGCGGAAGCGUAUGGUACUCGGCUCAUUUCUGCUAUCUCAGCUUCGGUACUCGGACUUUGAGUCUUACUCAAUUUGGCAUUACUUUGUAUCGGUAGUUCUCCCUUCUUUGAGUUUUCCAUACUAAAACGUUUUAGUACCUUCUCUAAGUAAGUAUUCUGACUAAGUCCAAUUAGUCUCUUACUUCUUUCUCUUACUAUCCUUAUUCCCAAAAUGUAAGAAGCCUCUCCGAGGUCCUUCAUAGCGAAGCACUUCCCGAGCCAGGACUUAACCUCCUGCAGAGUCGGGAUGUCGUUUCCUAUGAGUAAUAUGUCAUCGACAUAUAGAACGAGGAAGCUUACUAUACUCCCACUGGCUUUGACAUAUACACAAGAUUCGUCUUCGCUUCGUACAAAUCCAAACUCUUUGACUUUCUCAUCGAAGCAAAGAUUCCAUCUGCGAGACGCUUGCUUAAGUCCAUAAAUGGACUUCUCAAGCUUACACACUCUAUCCGGAUGCUUCGGAUCCACAAACCCCUCUGGCUGAGCCAUGUAAACAUCCUCAGCCAACUUUCCGUUAAGGAAAGCGGUCUUGACAUCCAUUUGCCAAAUCUCAUAAUCAUGAAAUGCGGCAAUAGCUAGCAUCACUCUAAUAGAUUUAAUCUUCGCAACUGGUGAGAAGGUCUCAUCAUAGUCAACUCCGGGAGUUUGAGUAAAGCCCUUCGCAACCAAUCGCGCUUUAUAUGUGUGUACGUUUCCAUCCACGUCGGUCUUCUUCUUGAAGAUCCAUUUGCACCCAACGGUCUUACGUCCGGGCACAUAAUCAACCAAAUUCCAAACUUGGUUAUCAUACAUGGAUUGGAUCUCGCUAUCCAUUGCCUCUUUCCAUUUUGCAGACUCCGGGCCUGCCAUGGCUUCCUUAUAGCUAUUAGGUUCAUCAAGAUUUACUAGUGUACCAUCACUAAUAUACGUGUCCCCUUCGGUAGUAAUAUGAAAGCCAUAAAACUGGGGAUGAACUCUAACUCUAUCGGAACGUCUAAGAGGUAAGGAUUCGUCAAUCGGUUCAACCGGAGUUUCCUCCUCGGGUUGAGUGCCAGCGGUAGAGGUUCCUUCAUCUAUCGACUCUUGAAUCUCUUCAAGUUCGAUUUGCCUCCCACUGUCUCCUUGGCUUAUGAGUUCUCGCUCUCGGAAAACUCCUCUCCUCGCAACGAAGACAACAUUGUCCUUCGGUCUAUAGAAGAGAUAUCCAAAGGAUGUCUGCGGGUAGCCGAUGAAAAUACAUCGCUCACUUCGAGGUUCAAGCUUGUCGUGAGUAUCUCGUCUUACGAAAGCCUCGCAACCCCAAACCUUGAUAUGUGCCAACGAGGGAGCUUUCCCUGUCCACAUCUCGUGAGGUGUUUUGGCAACCUUCUUAGUAGGGACUCGGUUAAGGAUAUGGGCGGCAGUCUCUAAGGCAUACCCCCAAAAAGAGAUUGGUAGUGAAGCACGACUCAUCAUAGAGCGAACCAUAUCCAAUAAGGUUCGAUUACGCCUUUCUGCCACACCAUUCAACUGCGGUGUCCUAGGAGGCGUCAAUUGUGAAACUAUUCCACACUCCUUGAGAUAAUCGUGGAAUUCAAGACUUAGGUACUCUCCUCCUCGAUCGGAUCGAAGCAUCUUGAUUUUCCUGCCCAAUUGAUUCUCCACUUCAUUCUUGAACUCUUUGAACUUUUCAAAGGUGUCUGACUUUUGCUUGAUUAAGUAGAUAUACCCAUAUCUACUAUAGUCAUCGGUAAAAGUCACGUAGAAUCGGUUUCCAUCCUUCGUGGUAGAUCUAAACGGUCCACACACAUCGGUAUGUAUGAGGUCCAAUAGACCCUCGCCCCUUUCACAUGUACUCGUGAAGGGCGACUUAGUCAUCUUUCCAAGCAAACAAGACUCGCAUGUGUCAUCUUCCCUAAGGUCGAAUGACUCCAACACUCCAUCCUUUUGGAGUUGGGCUAUGCGUUUCUUGUUGACAUGUCCAAGACGACAAUGCCACAAGGAUGCUUUAUCCAUACUAGUGGAAGAAUCAAUAUUCAAAACAUCAUUUCCUAAGUUAUCAACAAUCAUAACGGUUUCAUAUAUUCCAUUACAUGGUAUAGCUUCAAAGUAAAAGACACCAUUUAGAUAAGCCAAAAUAGAACCAUUCUCAUUAUUAAAAGAAAAUCUAAAUCCUUGUCUAUAUAAACCAUGAAAUGAAAUGAUGUUUCUUGCCAUUUCUGGCGAAUAGCAACAAUUGUUCAAAUCUAAAACUAAACUAUUCCUAAGCACUAAGGAAUACACUCCAAUCUUGGUCACAGGCGACGAUCUUCUGUUCCCCAUGAUUAGAUUGAUCCUUCCUUGCUCCACAUCCCUAUUUCUUCUUAGUCCCUGC
rnacentral:lncRNA from 1 species